ACCUAAUCAUUUUAAAUGGCAAGAAUAUCUCCAGGAGGCUUCAAACGAACGAGCUGCUAGAGGGGGUCUGGGUACAAGGAUUAUCAAGCUUGGAAGUAUGCCGCUUUGAUAGGAGCAAUCAGCAUUGAUUGAAAACCCCGACGCGUUUAACAAAAAAAAAAAACCUAAUUACUCAUCGUGCUCGUCUGCAUAAAAAAGUGACUCAUCUGCCACUGCCUGAUACUACAGCAUCAAGCUGCCCGGCACGAUGUAACGCUCGCACGCUUCCGGACAUUUGUUAUCAGCAGUUAUAUUGCUUCAUUCGCUGCUUUGGCGCACUGGCCACGACAAUCUAAUCAUCGGAAAAAGGGCCGUACCCGUACUUUACAAUUACAUCUGACACCAGAGCUUUUGAGUCACCGGUGAUAGCGUUUCCCCGAUGUGGAUACCGCUUUCAUGACUCGCGUCGCGUCUUGUGACCUGAGCACUGUUUUUUUUUUUCGAAAUCGUGAUUAAUCAUACCCUUUCCACUAUCGUUGAUAGCACUGUGCAACGAAAGGGAGAGAAAGCGCUAUAGGUGGGGUGUUGGAAUCGGUUGAACUGUAGCUCCAAGUGUAGCAUGCCCUACACCGUACCGUAUACCUAAGUGCACGUACGCUCGGCUGUGCGUAGGCACAAUAAAUCGAUUUCCUACGGGACCAAUCGGAAUUGAUUGUCGACUCACAAACACACAAUCGACCAUCAACCGGGACCGAAACCUAGAUGGGCAGUAAGGCAAAAGAGAUUCACCCAUUCUAUCAACCCGCUUAUCGAGAAUGGCUAUCAGCAUUCCUGCAUACACAGACCUCUCCUCUGCGGUCCACGUGCUUUAUAGGGCGGGAUCGUCGUCUCUGGCCUUAUCGCAUCUCAAACUCUUUUUUUUUAUGGGCACCUUAUAAACGCUCGCACCCAGGGAAACAGCCGGCUGCGUGCUGUUCACGAUCUCAACGCUUCUGGCACAUGACAUUUCCACAUCCAUUCACGCGGGCGUGCAACAUCAGUAUGUGAUUACCAGUAAGAAGCGGCUGUUUUUUUCCCCUCUUGCGCCCGAAAUUAACAUUGAGCCGUUAGCAACAUGUAGCAGCUGAUAGUGUCCAAACAGCCUCAUAUGAGGCAUCUCGGUUAGCCCUAAAA